rnacentral:rRNA from 1 species
UACGGGGGGGGCAAGCGUUGUUCGGAAUUACUGGGCGUAAAGGGUUCGGAGGUGGCCAACUAAGUCAGACGUGAAAUCCCUCAGCUUAACUGGGGAACUGCGUCUGAGACUGGAUGGCUUGAGUGCAGGAGAGGAACGCGGAAUUCCAGGUGUAGCGGUGAAAUGCGUAGAUAUCGGGAGGAACACCAGUGGCGAAGGCGACUACCUGGCCUGUUCUUGACGCUGAGGCGCGAAAGCUAGGGGAGCAAACGGG